rnacentral:misc_RNA from 1 species
AAAGUGCGAUACGUAGUGUGAAUUGCAUACUCCUGUGAAUCAUCGAAUCUUUGAACGCAGCUUGCACCUCUUCGGAGGUAUACCUGCAUGGGCAUCAAAAACCUAUAACAAACACAGCACUUUGUGGAAUACUUUGUGUGUGUGGGUGUUGACUUGAGGCUUCCACUGUGGUGUGAGUCUUUAAAAGAGGAGAGUGACUGGCUGUUGUCUGUCCGGUGGGUGUAGCUCGCCGAAAGUGAGGAAGAUUCCCGCUGAACGGAGGGUGAACUCGGCGGACGCCAAGGACGACAUGUUGGUUACUGCAACGAAAUACUGACCACUUCGUGGUGUGUUUCAUAUAUCUCUCAAUGAUCUCAUGUCAGGUAAGAGUACCCGCUGAACUUAA